GAUCAUGACUCAGAUUGAACGCUGGCGGCAGGCCUAACACAUGCAAGUCGAACGGUAACAGGAAGCAGCUUGCUGCUUUGCUGACGAGUGGCGGACGGGUGAGUAAUGUCUGGGAAACUGCCUGAUGGAGGGGGAUAACUACUGGAAACGGUAGCUAAUACCGCAUAACGUCGCAAGACCAAAGAGGGGGACCUCGGUCCGUCUUGUCCACUCGGAGUGUGCCCACGAUGGAGUUAGU
rnacentral:rRNA from 1 species